rnacentral:tRNA from 1 species
UCCCUGGUGGCUCAGAUAGUAAAGAAUCUGCCUGCCGUGCAGAAAACCCAGGUUUGAUUCCUGGGUCGGGAA